GAUGAAGAACGCAGCGAAAUGCGAUAAGCAAUGUGAAUUGCAGAAUUCAGUGAAUCAUCGAAUCUUUGAACGCACAUUGCGCCCGCCAGUAUUCUGGCGGGCAUGCCUGUUCGAGCGUCAUUACAACCCUCAGGCCCCCGGGCCUGGCGUUGGGGAUCGGCGGAGCCCCCCGUGGGCACACGCCGUCCCCCAAAUACAGUGGCGGUCCCGCCGCAGCUUCCAUCGCGUAGUAGCUAACACCUCGCGACUGGAGAGCGGCGCGGCCACGCCGUAAAACACCCAACUCUUCUGAAGUUGACCUCGAAUCAGGUAGGAAUACCCGCUGAACUUAAGCAUAUCAAUAAGCGGAGGA
rnacentral:misc_RNA from 1 species